rnacentral:lncRNA from 1 species
UACACUUUUUUUUCUAGGUCCCUGAACUAUAAAUGUCAAUUCAUAAGUAAUUCAACUCUUGAUUUUUUCCUAUCUGGGUCCUUCCGUUAGAUUUGGUUUGACGCCGUUAGUUCUUCUUAAGUUCAUGAGAAUCAAAGAUAACUUUGAAGGUGAUUCUGGUAUCCAAAUUUGAAACUUGAGUAAUCAAAUUGCUCGUUUUUCAAUCCUCUAUCCAUCUA